GCUUCAACAACUACGUCAGCACCUAACGCAGAGCAGCAACACCAAAAGCUUGAUCACACAAGCACCAAACAAUGAUCUCUCUGUUUUCUUCUUUUUGCAGAGACAACUUUCUUAGUAGAUGCACAUCCUCCUUGAAUAGAUAACCAGAACUUGUUCCUCAAGUUCUUCCAAAGAUAACUUAAGCAACUUUCCUUUUUCUUUUAAGGAAUAACUCUCUUGCCUUUUCCUUUUCAAGUAAUAUCCUUUACACUUAAUGUAAAUCUCCCAAUAAA
rnacentral:lncRNA from 1 species